GAAUUACUCUUGGAGUAGCAAUUGCUGGAUGUGCCUCUUUUGUUGAGGUGAUUGGAUCUUUUGGCAAAAACCAGUGACUGCAAAGGAUGAGAGAAACGAUCAGAAAAACUGAAAAGCUGUAGGAGACCAAACACUAGUGUCUCCCCUGCUUCAGGGGACACCCACUGUCAGAGUGAACGACAAAGACGCGCGUGGAUGAUUUGAAGAUAUUAGCCUAACAAGAUGGAAGCAGGUUUAAAAUUUUACAUAAGAAGUUACCUUUUUCAGACAUGUCACAGCCCCAAAAGAGAGAAGAUAUUGAGGC
rnacentral:lncRNA from 1 species